UCAUAUGCUCUCUCUCUCUCUCUCUUCUCUGCAAAAUCUCUCUCUCUCGCCCUCUUCAAGCACACUCUUGGGUUGCUGAUCUUUAUCCAGUUCUUGAUGAUUUGUUCUCCCUGUUCGUGAAUCGAGAAGAACCCUAGCCUCCGAGUCUCAAUGUGUUACUAGCUGAUGGCGGUUUCGGAGGAGGAAUGUUCGUCCACGAAGUCGCGAUCUUCGUCUUCAACUUCUACUUCAACCUAUUACUUGGCUAAGUGCGUUCUCAGAGGCAGCAUCGUCCUCCAGGUCCUCUACGGCCACAUACGCUCUCCGACCUCCCUCGAUGUCGUCUUUGGCAAGGAGACAUCGAUAGAGUUGGUUGCAAUAGGCGAAGAUGGGGUUGUACAAUCUGUAUGUGAGCAGGCUGUAUUUGGCACCAUUAAAGAUAUGGCCAUCCUACCAUGGAAUGAGAGGUUCCGCCCAUCAUACACACAGAUGCUGGGUAAGGAUCUUCUCAUUGUAAUCUCUGAUUCUGGAAAGCUUUCAUUUUUGACAUUUUGCAAUGAAAUGCACAGGUUUCUCCCUAUAACACAUAUUCAGCUUUCCAAUCCUGGAAAUUCAAGGAGUCAAAUUGGGAGAAUGCUGGCUUCAGAUUCCAGUGGCUGCUUUUUUGCUGCUAGUGCAUAUGAAAACCGAUUGGCUUUAUUCUCCACUUCAAUCUCUGCUGGUAGUGAUAUUGUUGAUAAGAGAAUAACUUAUCCUUCUGAGAGUGAAGGAGAUUCGAUUGGACCUCGAAGCAUGCAGAAAACCAGUAUAUGUGGGACCAUAUGGAGUAUGUGCUUCAUUUCAAAAGAUCAUGGCCACCUUACACAGGACAACAAUCCUGUACUAGCCGUUCUUCUUAAUAGGAGAGGAGCGAUUUUGAAUGAGCUGCUAUUACUUGGAUGGAAUAUGAGAGAACAAAUUAUAUAUGUUAUCUCUCAGUAUUUAGAAGAUGGACCUCUGGCAUACGAAGUUGUUGAAGUUCCUAAAUCUUAUGGAUUUGCACUCCUAUUUAGGGUUGGUGAUGCUCUCUUGAUGGAUCUUAGAGACGCCAAGAGCCCCUGUUGUGUCCAUAGAAUAGGCUUACACUUCCCAACCAACGUGGAACAAAAUUUUAUUGAAGAGUCAUAUAAAGUACAAGAUGCAGAUGAUGAAGGACUAUUUAAUUUUGCUGCAUGUGCACUGCUGGAACUAAGGGAUUAUGAUCCCAUGUGCAUAGACAGCGAUGAUGGAAGUCCGAAUACUAACCAGAAUCAUGUGUGCUCUUGGAGUUGGGAACCAGGCAAUGACAGAAACCAAAGGAUGAUUUUCUGCAUGGAUACUGGAGAACUUUUCAUGAUAGAAAUGAAUUUUGACUCCGAUGGUCUGAAAGUGAAUCAGUCUGCUUGUCUUUAUAGAGGUCUACCAUACAAGGAGCUUUUGUGGGUUGAAGGAGGAUAUUUGGCAGCACUGGUGGAAAUGGGGGAUGGAAUGGUCCUGAAAUUAGAGAAUGGAAGGCUGAUAUAUGCAAAUCCCAUCCAGAAUAUUGCUCCUAUUCUGGAUAUGUCAGUUGUUGAUAAGCAUGAUGAGAAACAUGACCAAAUGUUCGCCUGCUGUGGAAUGGCACCUGAUGGGUCUUUAAGGAUUAUUCGAAAUGGUAUUAGUGUAGAAAAUCUGUUGAGGACUGCUUCGAUUUAUCAAGGCAUAACGGGUAUCUGGACUAGUAAAAUGAAACUAAGCGAUGCUUAUCAUUCAUAUAUGGUAUUAUCAUUUGUUGAAGAGACCAGGGUUCUAUCAGUUGGCUUGAGUUUUAUUGAUGUCACCGAUUCAGUUGGUUUCCAGUCUGACAUUUGUACUUUGGCAUGUGGUCUUAUAGAUGAUGGCAUACUGGUUCAAAUACAUCAAAAUGCAGUAAGGCUAUGUUUACCCACCAAGGUCGCUCAUUCUGAAGGCAUUGAAUUAUCUUCUCCAGCUUGCACAUCUUGGUUUCCAGAUAAUAUUGGUAUCAGCUUGGGUGCAGUUGGACAUAAUAUGAUUGUUGUUUCCACGUCUAACCCGUGCAUCUUAUUUAUUCUUGGAGUUCGAAAGCUUUCAGAAUAUAACUAUGAAAUAUAUGAAAAGCAAUAUUUGAGAUUGCAGAAUGAAUUGUCAUGCAUUUCAAUUCCCGAAAAACAUUUUUCCCAAAAAGAAUCCAGUUUUUCUAUGAAUUCGGUAGAAAAUAACAUUAUUUCCACUCUACUAAACGGGGUUAGCAGUGAUAAUAUUAUUGUUAUUGGCACCCAUAGGCCUUCGGUGGAAAUUUUGUAUUUCGUUCCCUCUGUAGGUCUAAUUGUCCUUGCUUCGGGAACUAUUUCAUUGAUGAACAUUUUAGGCAAUGCUGUUAGUGGAUGCAUUCCUCAAGAUGUGAGACUUGUUUUAGUUGACAGGUUUUAUAUUCUUACGGGACUGAGGAAUGGAAUGUUGCUUCGCUUUGAGUGGCAUCAUACUACUAUGAUGAACUCAUCUCACAUGCCUAGCCACAGUCCUGUUGUUCCCUUUUUGUCAACUUGUCUUGAUUCUUUUGGCAAAGAAUUGUAUAAUACUACGAUAUUGGAGAAGCACGAGGAUAAAAUUCCUUCUAGUCUUCAAUUGAUUGCUAUUCGGCGCAUUGGGAUCACUCCUGUUUUUCUGGUUCCUUUGACUGAUAGACUGGAUUCUGAUAUAAUUGCUCUAAGUGAUAGGCCGUGGUUGUUACAUAGUGCAAGGCACAGUCUUUCAUACACUUCCAUUUCAUUUCAACCGUCAACACAUGUGACUCCUGUGCGUUCUGCUGAAUGCCCGAAUGGACUACUAUUUGUUGCGGAAAGCAGUCUACAUUUGGUAGAGAUGGUACAUACCAAGAGACUUAAUGUGCAGAAGUUUCAGCUUGGGGGCACCCCAAGGAAGGUUCUAUAUCACAGUGAGAGCAAAUUACUACUUGUGAUGAGGACUCAAUUGAUUAAUGAUACAUGUUCAUCUGACAUAUGUUGUGUAGAUCCCCUUAGUGGGUCAAUUUUAUCAUCGUUCAAGCUUGAAAUUGGAGAGACGGGAAAAUCCAUGGAGUUAGUGAAGAAUGGAAACGAACAAAUUCUUGUGGUUGGAACAAGCUUGUCUUCUGGUCCUGCCAUAAUGCCCAGUGGCGAAGCUGAAAGUACCAAGGGUCGGCUGAUCGUCCUUUGCCUCGAACAUGUGCAAAACUCAGAUACUGGCUCAAUGAAUUUUUGUUCAAAGGCAGGAUUAUCUUCUCUGCAAACCUCACCAUUUCGAGAAAUUGUUGGAUAUGCUACAGAACAGUUAUCAAGCAGUAGUCUUUGUAGCAGUCCAGAUGAUGCAAGCUCCGAUGGGAUAAAGCUCGAGGAAACAGAAGCUUGGCAAUUACGAGUAGUUUAUUCAACUACCUGGCCCGGAAUGGUUCUUGCUAUCUGUCCUUAUCUUGAUCGUUAUUUCCUGGCAUCUGCUGGUAAUGCUUUUUAUGUAUGUGGUUUCCCAAGUGAUAAUUCCCAAAGGGUGAAAAGGUUAGCAGUUGGGAGGACACGUUUUAUGAUAACAUCUUUGACUGCUCAUGUUACUAGAAUUGCUGUUGGGGAUUGUCGUGAUGGUAUUCUUUUUUACUCAUAUCAAGAGGAUGCUAAAAAGCUGGAGCAAAUUUACUCUGAUCCAUCACAGAGGCUAGUUGCUGAUUGUAUUCUUUUGGACGUUGACACUGCUGUUGUUUCAGAUCGCAAGGGAAGCAUUGCUAUCCUAUCAUGUUCUGAUCGUUUAGAAGAUAAUGCAAGUCCAGAAUGCAACUUAAUGCUGAACUGUGCUUAUUACAUGGGUGAAAUUUCCAUGAGCUUGAGGAAAGGAUCUUUUUCUUACAAACUUCCAGCUGAUGAUUUGUUGAGAGGUUGUGCUGGCACUGGCUCUGAUUUUGACUCAUCACACAACACUAUUAUUGCCAGUACAUUAUUAGGGAGCAUUGUGAUCUUCACUCCUCUAUCGAGGGAUGAAUAUGAACUUCUAGAAGCUGUCCAGGCUAAACUUGCCGUUCAUCCACUAACUCGUCCAAUUUUGGGGAAUGAUCAUUAUGAGUAUCGUAGCCGUGAAAACCCAACCGGUGUUCCAAAAAUACUUGAUGGGGACAUUCUGACUCAGUUCUUGGAGCUUACAAGCAUGCAACAAGAGUCAGUAUUAUCAUCACCUGUUGGCUCUCGAAAUGCAGCAAAAUCAAGCGGGAAGUCGUUGCCUGCAUCCAUCCCCAUCAAUCAGGUUGUGCAACUUCUUGAGAGAAUUCAUUAUGCCCUCAAUUAGUCUACAAUCUCUCAACUUUUGGUGCCACGAAGCUGUGGAAUCGGAAUACCUACACGGAAGCUUAUAUUGGGGUAAAUACCUUCGGUGCCUUCACAUGCUACUAUUGAAGGGAUGGCAACACAUACAGCUGCGAUCUUAUUUUGCAGAUUGGUCAGUGUAACUGUUGAUAUCUUAAAGCACCAGAAACUCCUCAAAGUUGCCUUUUUUACUCGAGCAGAGCAGUACCUGUACAGGAUAUUUGAUGUUCUAGAUCCACAAUUUCUGAGUUGGUUGUGGCAGUAGUUUUUCUUCGCUGAAGAGAAAGCAAUACCGAUGAUCUCGAAGAUUCUGAAGAUGUGAUUGUGUACUGGCUCAUUAGAGUAAGGAUCUGGUUGCUAUCUUCUCGGUUUCGCUCCUGAAAAUGAGGUGUGUUAUUUAAGAUUUUGGAAUUCCCCAUUUCCCUUUUCUUACUUGAUAUUGUAGAAGCUUGAAAAAUUUUAAGAGUUGAAUUUUGUACAGUUCCUAACUGUCAUGUUUGGGGUUAAGUUGGAUAAUAGUGUCAUGUUUGGGGUUUUGGCCAGAUAAGAGUCAGACUGUCAUGCUUAGUUGGAUAAUAGGAAUGCGUGUAAUUUAUGUUCA